ACGCUAGCGACAGGCUUAACACAUGCAAGUCGAGGGGCAGCAUUGUAAUUAGCUUGCUAAUUACAGAUGGCGACCGGCGCACGGGUGAGUAACGCGUAUGGAACCUGCCCUUUACAGGGGGAUAGCCCAUGGAAACGUGGAUUAAAAUCCCAUAAUACUUUAUUCGGGCAUCCGAAUGGAGUUAAAUCUACGGAGGUAAAGGAUGGCCAUGCGUCCUAUUAGCUGGUUGGCGGGGUAACGGCCCACCAAGGCGAUGAUAGGUAGGGGUUCUGAGAGGAAGGUCCCCCACAUUGGAACUGAGACACGGUCCAAACUCCUACGGGAGGCAGCAGUGAGGAAUAUUGGUCAAUGGCCGGAAGGCUGAACCAGCCAAGUCGCGUGAGGGAAGACUGCCCUAUGGGUUGUAAACCUCUUUUAUUCGGGAAGAAUAAGUUUCACGCGUGGAACGAUGCCUGUACCGAAUGAAUAAGCAUCGGCUAACUCCGUGCCAGCAGCCGCGGUAUACGGAGGAUGCGAGCGUUAUCCGGAUUUAUUGGGUUUAAAGGGUGCGUAGGCGGUUGAUUAAGUUAGUGGUAAAAUGUCAUGGCUAAACCUUGGCCAGCCAUUAAUACUGGUCAGCUUGAGUACAGACGAGGUAGGCGGAAUAAGUUAAGUAGCGGUGAAAUGCUUAGAUAUAACUUAGAACUCCUAUAGGGAAGGCAGCUUACCAGACUGUGACUGACGCUGAACCUCAAGAGCGUGGGUAGCGAACAGG
rnacentral:rRNA from 1 species